GUUUUGAAUUUUAGGGUUCUUCGAAAAUUAGGGAUUUUAUAUUAGAGUUGAAGUAUGAUUCUAAUAUUGAUAUAUAUUAUGUUUCUGAUGAUUCCUAAGCAUGAUUGUGGUGGUUAAUUGCAGUAAUUGUUACUUGAUUUUUGAUUUUACUCAAGUUAGUAUAAACCCUAGGCUUGAGUUCGAAAAUUUUAGUUAUGUUCUUGAAUAAAUGAGUUUAUAUAUGUGCUCUUGAGCUGGAAUUAUGAUUAUAUAUGAGUAUAUUAUGAGUUUGCACCAUAGGGUUUGUGAGAUUGAUUUUGUUAGUUUAGGGGAAGUUGGGGCUUUUGAGUUGAGAAGGGUUAUAUGCUAUUGUUUGAUGGAUAUAAGUAUAUUAUAGUGAUUCUAUAAAUUAUUAAGAGUAGAACAGCCUUUACUACCCAAUUCUUUUGUACAGCUCUAUAGUAUAAAGAGCAAGGAAUUGAUAAAGUUUCUAUUUUUUUAUGCAUAUGGAUGAGAUUAGUGACUUUAAUAAUUGAGUUUAAAUUGAGAUCAUCAUUGAGAUUUUAUUUCAAAGAGAUUGAGGAGAUUGAUAAAGAUAGUUUAUUAAACUAAAUAUGUAUCUUUUCAGUGAGAGUUGACAAACAUCUGUGGGCUUAUUCUUUUUUUUUUUCCUUAUUGAGUUAAGAGGAUGAGUGGUGUUAUUGUAUUGAUGAUAUGAUGUGAGGAAAUGUUAGAAUAAUAAGUUAACAGGAAACAUGAGUUAUUGUUAUAAUAUUAGAUAUAUAUAUUUUACUUACUUAUUUUUCUUACGAAAUUUUUAUCUAUUUAAAGGUCCCUGCUAGGAACGAGCCUGACACUAGAGUACGAAGUAAGAGAAACAUAUCAGGUUAAGUUUGGAUGAAGAUGGAAGUGUGCUGAGCUGGAGCUUUUUGUUUAUGUAAAUAGUAAUAGGCUCAGGAUAUUGUGUCUUCAUACAUAAUGUCCAAUGAUGUACUCCGCUGCAACACUUUGUCUCUCUUAUCACUUUUGCCGUGUUGUAGAAUGUUUUAAAAACUUUAACCUGUAUAUGAGCUUGACAAAUCUUGGUUAUGAUGUUUAUUUGGUUUAAACUUCUUUUGUUAAAGUUUGAUGAUGCCGAACCUUGUGAAAUUCAUUGAUUAUGUAUGUAAGUUGUUAAUUAUUUAA